CGACCCUGAAGGCAUCCUCUCGUCGUGGCGACGAGGGCGGAAGGACUGCUGCCGGUGGAUGGGCGUCACCUGCAGCAACCAAACCGGCCAUGUCCUCGAGCUUGAUCUAAGCUAUAGAAAUUUGACAGGCCAGAUAAGUCCUUCCUUACUGUCUCUAGAGCAUCUGGAGCACUUGGAUUUAGGCGGCACAUACUUAUCUGGUCAUGAUGGUCGUUUUCCCGAAUUCCUGUGUUCUUUCAAAAACUUGCGAUAUCUCGACCUCUCGUUGUUGUCGUUUGCGAGCAGACUGCCUGCUCAACUUGGCAACCUUUCCACGUCACUGGAAUACCUUCACCUCAAUAACGCAUACUCUUUGCCGAGUGAGGUGCCGCCUCAGCUCGGUAACCUCUCAAACCUGCGACAUCUUGGUCUCGCUUCUGAUUAUUUGUACACAACCGAUAUCUCAUGGUUAGUUCGUCUUCAUCAGCUUGAGUUUCUUGAGAUGGCCGACAUAAAUCUAAGUACAAUAGAUAAUUGGCCUCUUGUGGUAAACAUGAUUCCAUCUCUGAAGUCUCUCUCCCUUUGGAACUGCUCCCUUCCCAGAGCAAACCAAUCGCUCACUCACAUAAACCUCACAAAACUUGAGAGGCUUGAUUUAUCCACGAACUACUUUGGGCACCCAAUUGCAUCCAGUUGGUUUUGGAACAUAACAAGCAUUCAACGCCUCGAGCUAAGUUCAACCUAUCUUUACGGUCCUUUCCCUGAUGCACUAGGACGAAUGACGUCCCUCUUUGACCUGGAAUUUUCGGAAAAUGGAAACUCAGCCACGAUGACAUUAGACUUGAGAAAUCUAUGUGAAUUGCGUUAUCUGUGGCUCGAUGGGAGCCUAUCAUCUGGGAACAUAACAGAGUUCAUAGAGAAGUUGCCACAAUGUUCUUCUAGCAAAUUAUACCUCCUAAGUUUGAGUGACAAUAAUAUGACAGGAAUAAUGCCACAGGUAAUGGGGCACUUAACCAGCUUAGCUGCUCUUAGCCUAUCUAACAACAGCAUUAGUGGAUCUAUAUCACCAGGGCUACAGAAUUUCACUAGUUUGGAGGUAUUAUCUCUCAGUUCCAACCACCUUAGUGGCCAGAUACCAUUGCUGCCAAGAGGCCUUGAAAUAUUGGAGGUCUCCAUGAACUUCUUGUCUGGGCAUUUUCACUUCGGAGCUCCAAAUAUUAAAGUACUAAUUCUAUCCUCUAAUAAAAUUAGUGGUCCUAUUCCUGAAAAGUUUUGUGAGUUGCAAUAUCUACAUGACUUGGAUUUGUCAAACAAUUCUUUCGCGGGAGAACUUCCUAUAUGUUCUUCGAUGCCAUCCCUACGCUCCUUGCUCCUAAGUAACAACGAAUUUUCUGGAAAGUUCCCAUCCAUGGUCCAAACCCUCUCCAGUCUAAUUUUGCUUGAUCUUUCAUGGAACAAAUUCGAUGGGACAUUACCAAUAUGGAUCGGACAUCUGGCAGAGCUGCGAUUCCUAGAUCUGAGCCACAACAUGUUAUAUGGGAGUAUUCCAGUGAAUAUCACACAUCUUAGACAACUUCAACUCUUGAAUUUAUCAUUCAACAAUAUAUCAGGAUCAAUUCCUCAGUCAUUAUCAAAGCUAAUGGCAAUGACAAAAACGCAUAUGCCCGGACCUAUAACUACUAAUAGAUUUGAUUGGUACAUAGGUUGGGUAAAUUAUGAGUUCUUGUCUGCAGUGACGAAGCAUCAACAACACAAGUAUGCCGAAAAAAGUAUUUUUUAUAUUGUUGACAUCGACUUGUCUGUCAAUCAUUUAACCGGAGGAAUUCCAGAUGAAAUGGCUUCUCUUGACGGAUUGAGAUACUUAAAUUUGUCAAGGAAUUGCUUGAGAGGAAACAUUCCAAAGAAUAUUGGCGCUAUGGAAUUAGUGGAAUCAGUUGACUUCUCAUGGAAUAGUCUUUCUGGGGAAAUCCCUGCAAGCUUGUCAGACUUGACAUUUUUAAGUGUCUUGGACUUGUCAUAUAACAAUCUAUCAGGAAGAAUACCGUCUGGGCGUCAGCUUGAGACCGUCUACGACAACAACCCAACUAUAUAUGAUGGGAAUAAUAAUCUCUGUGGACCCCCUCUUCAGAGAAACUGCUCAUCAGGAAAUAGUGAUCCUAAGCAUGGUAAUGAACAGGCAAGCGGAGAGAAUUCAGAAUCAUUGUUCUUUUACUUCGGACUUGUAUCAGGGUUCGCAGUUGGCCUCUGGGGGGUGCUGUGUGCUCUACUCUUCAAGAAGCCAUGACGAAUUGCUUUUAUCCAGUAGCAUAUUUAUUGUUGUGUAAUCAUACAUCAUCAUUUGAAUUUGAGGCCGGCACUCUGUUGGGGUCGGAUAUAAUAAUAACAUGUGGGAUUGCAUGUGGUCAGCUUGCUGAACGGAGUUGCAUGUGGGAUCAGCGAGGUCGUACACCAUCAAUAACAUAGACGGCAUGCAUGGCUCGAAAGCCACGUCACCAGCAUUAUUUCUCGAACACGAAACCUAACCAUUAAUAAGGCUAGUAGGUUUAUGGAGAGUUUUAUCGCAUUAAAUUCGAUGUCACAUCAUCAAUUUUGCUGACAAAAUGAGAAGAGAGAAGGAAAGAGUUAUAUAGGGGAUGCGAGAGGAGUUUCAUCACCCUAAAACUCACGUGGCACAGUUACCUAGUUCAGAGGCGGGCUCAGGAUUGGAAGAUUGGAUAUUCAAAAAUUCAAAAUCUAUAAAAACUUAACUGUUUCAACACUAUUUUUUAGCAAAAAUAUUCUUAAAUACCAUUGAUUUGUAAAAAUAAUGGGCAUUUAGUGAAUACCUUUGAAUACCCUGAUCCGUCCCUAACCUGGUUCCCAGUCUUAAUAAGUGAAACAUAAACUGUACUGUAAAACUGUGCACUGAGACCGACGUAAGGAGGCAUGCAUAAUGUUUCUACCAUCCUUACUUGGUGGGUUCAUUCUUGCAUUGGUCAUGUCACGUCGGGAAGUUCCCUAAACCGGAGCAGCAGCCACCUUGCAUUUAUCAGUUUGUCGCCGUAUCAACAAGACAACGACGAUCGCGGAUGACGGAGCAGGAGGGAGGCAUGGGCUUUCAUCAGGCCAGGCAGGAACUCCUUCCUCCCUGUCUCGUCAAGACAGCAACAUUAGUGCCGUAUCGGUUUGCUAACCUCGGGGGACCAGGCUCAAAUAAGCGCAACGCGGCCCGCCCGUUGGGGUUGGAAGGAGGGAAACGGGCCUGAGCUUAACGCUGUUAAAAGCGCGAUUGCCCCGGGUUGGUUGGGGUGGACUAGGCGUGGGCUCUCUCUUAGCCCAUACCGAUGACAACAUCCGAAACUCUGGACCCCUCCCACGCAGCUGGGCUCCGUGUGCCGUGGAGCCUGCUUCUUCUUCUCGUGGGGGCAGCGUUGGGCUCGAUCCAGCCCUCCUUCCAACUCCACCCCCAACCCUUUUUGUUUUUUUUUCUCUAAGCUUGUACCACCUCAGGCCAAAUGGCCACAGUGCGGACAACAAGAGAUAAAGAUCUUUCACAGUAAAGCAAGAAAACAAACCUUGCCGGUGCAAGUUGUCCUCCACCUGAGUGCACUCAUAUGGUAGUAAAAGUGUUGGCGGAGCAACACCUCUAGCUCUUUCUCUAAAGGAGAAAAGAGAGCGCAUUCAUUCCUAAAUUGCUAUGAAUACAAGCGUGCGUGCGUUCAGUGGUAAUGCACGUUUCUCCAAUCUUUUCUCUACCAUGUGUACCAACGAUGUGAGUGUUGUGUGCGUUCUUGUAUGUACCCUUAAAAAGAUCCCCAGACAAUUUCAGAGACCUCUUUGCGGGGUGAUGCCAGCAGAGGAAUACGAGAUGCCCUUUUGAUCUCUCCGAACACCUGGUGGACGUGUGUGCAAAAACCAAGCCUAGCUAAGAUGCAGCGGCCGAACACAGUUGUGACGGCGCUGCCUUUUGUCCGCCACGCUAAUCCAACGAAGCAACUCCACUUAAAAGCCAUUCUAAAGCUUGACGACCAUAGGUAACGACCAGACACACUCAAACAGAUAUGCACAAAAAAAUGUGCUACCUCUGUUCUAAAAUAUAACAACUUUUUAACCAUCACUAUCACAAAAUAUAAAAACUUUUUAAUCAAGUUAAAGUUAAAUAUUUUCAUCUUUAACCAAUAAUAUCUCAAAAAAUAAUUACUUUUAAAUAGAAAAGGUUAUAUAUUGGUUUCAUUAUGAACAAACUAAUAUCACUUUUAUAUUAACAUUUAUAGCUCCAAAUAGAUUUAGUAUAAAAAUAUAUUACAUGAUUAGACUGUCUAAUGAUACUUACUGCAUAAUAUAAUUUUAAUAUUUAUUUUAUACAAACUAGAUCAAAUUUAAAAUUAUCUGACGUCUUGAAAAGUGUAAGUUGUAUUUUUUUGAACGGAAGGAGUAGGUAUUAAUGGAUCUUUCAAAAUACUGUAUCCGGGAACCAGCAUCUAGCAUGUAUUCAAUUUGCUUCACCCUGCUUGGUGCAUGCCUCCUUUUGCCGCUGUUGGAUUGGACAUCAGCUUGACCGGAUGAUCGCACUCUCCGAUCUUACCGAGCCUCGUCGUCCUUCUUCCUAGUGAACCCAACGAAGAAAUCGUAGCUAGUCAGUGUUGGUCAACCGAAUGAGAUUCCAUGUGGGCCCUGCAAGGUCUGAGCACUAACCUAACCUAAUCUGUGUUUUGUCGACGAUGGUCACAACCGUGUGCGGUGGGCCGUAUCUACGAACGCGCGCCGGCGCACGGCGUCGUUUUUGGGCCCAGCAUGCAAUUGGGCCAGGGAUUACAUUAGUGCCACAUCGAUUUACUAACCUCGGGGGACCAGCCGUGACGAAGCCCACGGCGCCUCGGGGUUGGAAGGGGCCGGGCGAUUGUGGAUCGCAGGUGGGCCGAACGCGCCAGCUCCGGCGCCGCGCCGCUCCGAUGCCUCCACCGUCACCCUCCACCACGGCCACCGCUAACCCGAACUUCUUCUUCAACUCCGGCCUAGCUGAUGAUGACACCGGAAACUCUGGGGAGCCUCCCACGCAGCUGGGGCUCCUGACCGAGGCAAUGCCGAUUUAAUGCAUGCUGGGAUCGCUGCCUAUAAUGGACGGCGACCGCUAACGCAUCCAAAUAGGCUUUGCCUCGGGAAAAGGCCUCCAUACCGUGGGCCUGCUUUCUUCUCGUUGGGCAGCGUUGGCCUCGACCCAGCCCCCUCCUUCCAACUCCACUCCCACUCUCCUUUUUUGUUUUUUUCCUCUAUCGGAGUCGUAGCCAUCUCCGGAUUUGCUUGGUUCCUGUUUGUGCGGUGACGUCAGGCUGCCGCGUCAGCGGCUCGUCUUUGUCUGCCGGCAUAAUUGUGCGUAGCUAGGGGCGACGCCACGUUAAGUCUGCCCAGGGUAAAAUUUUUUUUGCCACUAAUUAAACUUAAAAUUACCAUAUAAUUCUGAGAAGUUAUUUUAGUCCCUGAAGGAGUGCACCAUGGUCAAUUGGAAACUAGCUUCGCCCCUGUGCGUAGCGGACACGAGCUUGCGUAGAGCCAGCAAUGGAUCUCCUCAUCCUCAUUUCCCACGCUGCAACUUUCACUGGAUAUUUCCUUUCAAAAAAAAUUCACUGGCUACAGUGACCAGCAGGACAACGGUUCCAAGCUUCUCAGUAGAGAAUCAGUGUUGCGGUACACUGUCCUUUCUCCGUACUGUAUCCAGCUGAAAUGCUUCCAAAAUUCUAUUGUGACUUGUAUUUUUCCGAAUUUUCCUUAGUGGGCUGACGUUUUGUUGCCCAUUUGACACUCUUUUGCUAGAAUUUCAUAAGGAGGCCAAUUACUUGACGUGUUAGUGCAUUGUUGCAACCCACAAGCUCUUGUAUUUACCAUCCUUUACCACCUCUAGUUACAUUGUUGUAUGUGUGAUUAUUCAGUUUUAUGUGGACCAUACAUGGCAUUCCGGAACUUGUGGUCACUAGUCUUUAUUUGAAUAUUCAACCACGUAGUCAACUUGUGGUGACAACUACACUACCAAGUAAUUUUCAUUCUUGCCGUGUCAUAUAAUCUCGAUUAGUGCCAUUUUAUAGUCUACUAAAUAGGUUUGGGCGAGCUCACAUGCACCCACACCAAAUGCAAAAUCAACAAGCAAAUUUUCACCAUGUAUAAUGAUCAAAUUCUCCUAAAAAAUCAUAUAACGAUCAAAUUCAUAAACCCACGAGGCAAGCGCACCCCCUUCUAAUUUGCUCUAACUUCACCAUUUGCAGGGUUACAAAUCUUUAUGAUCCAAAAGCAGUACCUACGUCUGUGGUCGUGAGAUCAAGGUCUACCAGUCCAAUCUCCUACAAGCAUUUAUAGAUGUGAGUAUAACUGACUGCGUGAAGAUCCCUGCUAUGAUCAUUUAUAAAAAAAGUAUUUAACAAACUUAUCUUCUCCGCGUAUGUGUGAUGGGAAAACGCUGUCUAAUUGGAACCCCAUUUUUCCUUGUGUUUUCCAGCCAUGCAUGCUAGGUGUUACGUCGUUGUUAGUUGUUACUCAGUUUAUGUGGACCGCAACGUCUUAUUCCACAACUUUAUGUGGUCACCAGCCUUUGAAAAUUCUCCCACAUGCUCUUCAGUCAAUGAAGUUUGCUAGAUCUUUGGAUCGCAGCAGGAAUUUAAGAGCACACACAGCUCAGACCUUCGAGCACUCUACUAGCAGAUAGCUUUGCUCAUUGCCAGGUACUGCAUGCACAGACCACACCACUUGCUAUGCAUCCCUCCGCUGCCAAGUUCUUGCUUCUUCUCGUGGCCGCCGCCUCGAGCUUCUUGUCGGUGGCAUCGCAUGGACUGCCGCCGCGGCAGCUCAAGCGGAACGCGAGCUGCGUGCCGCACGAGAGGGACGCGUUGCUGGCCUUCAAGGAAAACAUCACCAGCGACCCUGAAGGCAUCCUCUCGUCGUGGCGACGAGGGCGGAAGGACUGCUGCCGGUGGAUGGGCGUCACCUGCAGCAACCAAACCGGCCAUGUCCUCGAGCUUGAUCUAAGCUAUAGAAAUUUGGCAGGCCAGAUAAGUCCUUCCUUACUGUCUCUAGAGCAUCUGGAGCACUUGGAUUUAGGCGGCACAUACUUAUCUGGUCAUGAUGGUCGUUUUCCCGAAUUCCUGUGUUCUUUCAAAAACUUGCGAUAUCUCGACCUCUCGUUCUUGUCGUUUGCGAGCAGACUGCCUGCUCAACUUGGCAACCUUUCCACACUGGAAUACCUUUACCUCAAUGACGCAUACUCUUUGCCGAGUGAGGUGCCGCCUCAGCUCGGUAACCUCUCAAACCUGCGACAUCUUGGUCUCGCUUAUAAUUAUUUGUACACAACCGAUAUCUCAUGGUUAGUUCGUCUUCAUCAGCUUGAGUAUCUUGAUAUGGCAGGCAUAAAUCUAAGUACAAUAGAUAAUUGGCUUCAUGUGGUAAACAUGAUUCCAUCUCUGAAGUCUCUCUCCCUUAGGAACUGCUCCCUUCCCAGAGCAAACCAAUCGCUCACUCACAUAAACCUCACAAAACUUGAGAUGCUUGUUUUAUCCAAGAACUACUUUGGGCACCCAAUUGCAUCCAGUUGGUUUUGGAACAUAACAAGCAUUCAACAACUCGAGCUAUAUUCAACCUAUCUUUACGGUCCUUUCCCUGAUGCACUAGGACGAAUGACGUCCCUCUCUUACCUGGGAUUUUGGGAAAAUGGAAACUCAGCCACGAUGGCAGUAGACUUGAAAAAUCUAUGUGAAUUGGAUACUCUGUUGCUCGAUGGGAGCCUAUCAUCUGGGAACAUAACAGAGUUCAUAGAGAAGUUGCCACAAUGUUCUUCUAGCAAAUUACAGCACCUAAAUUUGAAUGACAAUAAUAUGACAGGAAUAAUGCCACACGUAAUGGGGCACUUAACCAGCUUAGCUGCUCUUAGCCUAUCUAACAACAGCAUUAGUGGAUCUAUAUCACCAGGGCUACAGAAUUUCACUAGUUUGGAGGAAUUAUUUCUCAGUUCCAACCACCUUAGUGGCCAGAUACCAUUGCUGCCAAGAGGCCUUGUCUGGGCAUUUUCACUUCGGAGCUCCAAAUAUUAAUGUACUAAUUCUAUCCUCUAAUAAAAUUACUGGUCCCAUUCCUGAAAAGUUUUGUGAGUUGCAAUAUCUAAGUGACUUGGAUUUGUCAAACAAUUCUUUCGCGGGAGAACUUCCUAUAUGUUCUUCGAUGCCAUACCUACACUCCUUGCUCCUAAGUAACAACGAAUUUUCUGGAAAGUUCCCAUCCUUGAUCCAAAGCCUCUCCAAUCUAAUUUUGCUUGAUCUUUCAUGGAACAAAUUCUAUGGGACAUUACCAACAUGGAUCGGACAUCUGGCAAAGCUGCGAUUCCUAGAUCUGAGCCACAACAUAUUAUAUGGGAGUAUUCCAGUGAAUAUCACACAUCUUAGACAACUUCAACUCUUGAAUUUAUCAUUCAACAAUAUAUCAGGAUCAAUUCCUCAGUCAUUAUCAAAGCUAAUGGCAAUGACAAAAACGCAUAUGCCCGGACCUAGAACUAAUGGACUUGAUUGGUACUGGUACGUACCUUGGGUAAAUAGUGAGUUCCUAGAUAUUAUGUCUGCAGUGACGAAGCAUCAACAACACAAGUAUGCCGCAGAAAGUAUUUUAUAUAUUGUUGAUAUCGACUUGUCUGUCAAUCAUUUAGCAGGAGGAAUUCCAGAUGAAAUGGCUUCUCUUGACGGAUUGAGAUACUUAAAUUUGUCAAGGAAUUGCUUGAGAGGAAACAUUCCAAAGAAUAUUGGCGCUAUGGAAUCAGUGGAAUCAGUUGACUUCUCAUGGAACAGUCUUUCUGGUGAAAUCCCUGCAAGCUUGUCGGACUUGACAUUUUUAAGUGUCUUGGACUUGUCAUAUAACAAUCUAUCAGGAAGAAUACCGUCUGGGCGUCAGCUUGAGACCGUCUACGACAGCAACCCAACUAUGUAUGAUGGGAAUAAUAAUCUCUGUGGACCCCCUCUUCAGAGAAAUUGCUCAUCAGGGAACAGUGAUCCUAAGCAUGGUAAUGAAAAGGCAAGCGGAGAGAAUUCAGAAUCAUUGUUCUUUUACUUCGGACUUGUAUCAGGGUUCGCAGUUGGCCUCUGGGGGGUGCUGUGUGCUCUACUCUUCAAGAAGCCAUGAAGAACUGCUUUUAUCCAGUAGCAUAUUUAUUGUUGUGUAAUCAUACAUCAUCAUCUUAAUUUGAGGCCGGCACUCUGUUGGGGUCGGAUAUAUUAAUUGGAUUACGAAUCGCACCGUCUGUUUUCACUCACGGCUUACAGAUCGUGCUCUCUUGCGAAACCAAGCAAGCAGUGGCUGGUGGGGCGAACUACUCUGCCAAGGUCCCUUCAGAUCUAAGGCGAGGAGGAAGAGCGGACGAGGAGAGCGAGGCGUGCGUAGUAGGCUAGUAUUGCCAGUCAAUGUUGGUCAGCUUGCUGAAUGGAAUUGCAUGUGGGAUCAGCGAGGUCGUACACCAUUAAUAACAUAGACGGCAUGCAUGGCUCGAAAGCCACGUCACUAGCAUUAUUUCUCAAACACGAAACCUAACCAUUAAUAAGGCUAGUAGGUUCACGGGGAGUUUUAUCGCAUUAAAUUCGAUGCUAUAUCAUCAACUUUGCUGUCAAAACGAGAAGAGAGAAGGAAAGAGUUAUAGGGAAUGUGAGAGAAGUUUCAUUACCCUAAAACUCACGUGGUAUAGUUAUCUAGUUUAGAGGCGGGCUCAGAAUUGGAAGACUGGGUAUUCAAAAAUUCAAAAUCUAUAAAAACUUAACGGUUUCAACACUAUUUUUUAGCAAAAAUAUUCUUAAAUACCAUUGAUUUGUAAAAAUAAUGGGUAUUCAGUGAAUAUUCUGACCCAUUCCUGAUCUGGUUCCCAAUCUUGAUAAGUAUAUUAUAAAAUUGUACUAUAAAAUUGUAAAAUUGUGCACUGAGACUGUCAUAACGAGGCAUGUAUAAUGUUUCUGCCAUGCUUGCUUGGUGGGUCCAUUCUUGUAUUGGUCACGUCACGUCGGGAAGUUCCCUAAACCGGAGCAGCAGCCACCUUGCAUUCAUCAGUUCGUCGCCGUGUCAACAAGACACCAACGACCGCGGAUGACGGAGCAGGCGGGAGGCGGGAGGCGUGGGCUUUCAUCGGGCUAGGCAGGAACUCCUUCCUCCCUGUAUCAUCAAGACAGCAACAUUAGUGCCGUAUCGGUUUGCUAACCUCGAGGGGACCAGGCUCAAAUAAGCGCAACGCGGCCCACCCGUUGGGGUUGGAAGGAGGAAAACAGGCCUGAGCUUAACGCAGUUAAAAGCGCGAUUGCCUCGGGUUGGUUGGUGGACUAGGCGUGGGCUCUCUCUCGGCCCAUACCAAUGACGACAUCCGAAACUCUGGGCCCCUCCCACGCAGCUAGGCACCGGGCUCCUGGUUAACACAUCGCCUCCUGGCAAACAUGUACAAAAUGGGCUUUUGCCUCGGGAGAAGGCCUCCGGGUGCCGUGGAGCCUGCUGCUGCUUCUUCUUCUUCUCGUGGCGCAGCGUUGGGCUCGACCCAGCCCUCCUUCCAACUCCACCCCCAACCCUUUUUGUUUUUUUUUCUUCUGCGCUUGUACCACGUCAGGCCAAAUGGCCACAGUGCAGUUUCACAGUAAAGAAAGAAAACAAACCUUGCAAGUGCAAGUUGUCCUCCACAUGAGCGCACUCGUAUGGUAGUAAAAGUGUUGGCGGAGCAACACCUCUAGCUCUUUCUCUAAAGAAGAAAAGAAACAGAGCGAUUCAUUCCUGAAUUGCUAUGAACACAAGCGCGCGUGCGUUCAGUGGUAAUGCAGGUUCCCGCGCACUGAGGGUAAUAGUAUCUCCAACCUUUUCUCUACCAUGUGUACGAACGAUGUGAGUGUUGUGUGCGUCCUUGUAUGUACCCUUAGAAAGAUCCCCAGACAAUUUCACAGACCUCUUUGCGGGGUGAUGCCAGAAGAGGAAUACGAGAUGCCCUUUUGAUCUCUCCGAACACCUGGUGGACGUGUGUGCAAAAACCAAGCCUAGCUAAGAUGCAGCGGCCGAACACAGUUGGGCGUGAGAUCACGAUGCAGACGGCGGACGGGCCGAGCGAUGGUUCCACGGCCAUCCCCAUCUCCAUUUUCCGGCGAAGGGGACGGAGCAACUUGCGGGGGGCCAUACAUGUGUGACUCCAUGAGGCUUACAGAUUUUAGAUCAGUGGCGCCCCGGUUGCUCUACGAUCUAGUUGGUAUCGUCUUCGCAAAUCUCUGCUGGAUUGAAACCGGGUCAAUGUCGACGAUCGAGAGAGAGAGAUGGCCGUAUGUGAGUGUUGUGUGCGUCCUUGUAUGUACCCUUAAAAAGAUCCCCAGACAAUUUCACAGACCUCUUUGCGGGGUGAUGCCAGAAGAGGAAUACGAGAUGCCCUUUUGAUCUCUCCGAACACCUGGUGGACGUGUGUGCAAAAACCAAGCCUAGCUAAGAUGCAGCGGCCGAACACAGUUGCGACGGCGCUGCCUUUUGUCCGCCACGCUAAUCCAACAAAGCAACUCCACGUAAAAGCCAUUCUAAAGCUUGACGACGAUAGGUAACGACCAGACACACUCAAGAAACAGAUAUGCACAAAAAAAUGUGCUACCUCUGCUCUAAAAUAUAACAACUUUUUAACCAUCUCUAUCACAAAAUAUAAAAACUUUUUAACCAAGUUAAAGUUAAAUAUUUUCAUCUUUAACCAAUAAUAUCUCAAAAAAUAAUUACUUUUAAAUAGAAAAGGUUAUAUAUUGGUUUCAUUAUGAACAAACUAAUAUCACUUUUAUAUUAACAUUUAUAUCUCCAAAUAGAUUUAGUAUGAAAAUAUAUUACAUGAUUAGACUAUCUAAUGAUACUUACUGUAUAAUAUAAUUUUAAUUUACCUUGAUUUACAAAUUCAUUUGGGUUGCUGCUACUUCCAGCAGCAUGCUGAUCAUUAGGUUGUGCUGUUGUGCUGAUUGAAGACAUACUAUGUCGGGAUUGCAGGGCACUAUUCUCCAUUUCGUGCGGACUUGAACUCCAAAAGUCGUCAGACAAAUUGCGCCUUUUUACAGAGCGCCCUUGAAUUCUUAAUCCUUUUGAAGGCUCAUCAACAGCUAUUAUUGGAGUAGGUUGGGCACAACCAAAACAACCUCUGCUCUGUUGCAAACCAGGAUCGGCCAAUAAAUGAUUAGUACCAGGUACUUGAUACAAGUAACAUGCACAAAAAAUUAAGGGCUUACACUGAAAACACAUAGUUAGAUGAUUCCCAAUACUAGAUUAGUAUAAGUUGUGUACCAGCUUGGGACCAGGCCCAGCUAUAUCCGAUCAGUCGGAAAUUACUAGGAGGUGGUGGCCAUCUUCCAGUAGGCACUAAGCAUUUACAAUUUAAGGCAAGCACAAACAAAAAACUUCAAUUGACAUAGCUAGAACCCACAAAAUGAGAAAAUAAAAACAACCCCCCAUAGUCUGUACAGAAUACGGAAACAACUGUUCUUAUUUGACUACAUAGACAAUUGAUCUAAAUAGUUCUGUUUGCAUUUACAAAACCUAACAAAUACUAAGCCCAAUUUCAUCAAGACAAUUUGAGCAAUCAUUUGUUUACGGUAUCCAGUUGGUCAAUGACUAAAUCGUCGAGGAGUAAAACACCCUAGGCAUGAAACCAAUUACAAAUAUAUACUUUAGUAGCAUUUUAGGUGCCAGUUUGUUAUUGCAGGUAACCAGCUUGCUCAGUCAUCAGUAGCCAGUAUUAAGUGAACUGCAAGUCCAUAAUUCAAAAAAGAUACCAAGUACAAGUAAUCUACAUGCACCACUCAAUUAAAUGGGCAGUUAGGUGCAGAAAUAGUAGGUAAGAAUUCCCCUUUUCUAGUUUCACAAAUAAUUGUACACUAGAGUAUUGAUCCAGGAAGGCAAACAUCAAUCAGUUUCUCUUUUCUGUUGUACUGGUUACUUUUGGAGGCUGCUGAUUGCAAACUUAAGGGAGCAGGAAAGAGAAAGGAGCUUAAGGGAGACCUAACAAGAAAGCAAAAGUAUCAGGGAAAUAAACCAGCAUUGCUGGAAAAUAAUCCUAGCCACUACCGGAAAAAAGAUCUUUACCGAGUGUCAAAUAUUUUGCCGAGUGUUUUUUCUCGGGCACUCGGCAAAGAAGCUCUUUGCCGAGUGCCUUGUUUAGACACUCGGCAAAGAAGCUCUUUGCCGAGUGCCUCUUUUAGACACUCAGCAAAGAUAAUUUUCAAAUCAUAUUUUGAAGUAGUAAAUUAAUUUAAAUAAAAAUAUUUUCAACUACAAAGUUGUAUAACUCAUCAAGAUGCACAAUUCUUAUUUUGGACAUUUCUUCAUUUGACAAAAUAAAUAUACAUUUGUUCACAAAAUAUAUAUAUCUCUUUUGUAGUUUACGAAACUAGAAGAGAGAUAUAUAAGAUUUGUAAACAAUAUUAGAAUUAUCAUGUCAGCUGAAGAAAUAACAAAACAAUCAAAAUAAACUUUGUAGAUCUUGAUAAGUUAUAAGAUUUUACAGUUGGCAUUUAAUUUGAAGUCAUCUUGUCAACAAAAACUACAUCUGAAUAUAGAAAAUUUAAAAUUCGAAUUUUGCAAAUGACCUUGAAUGGAAAAACCAUCAAAAUUAAAGUUGUAGAUCUUAAAAAGUUAUGAAAGUUUGUAGUUGACAACUUUUUGAUUUGAAAUCAUUGUGUCAUAUUAAAAUACGUUUGAAGUUUUCAAAUUUGAAAUUCAAAUUUUUUAAACGAUCUCGGAUGAAGAAACUACCAAAAUAAAAGUUGUAGAUCUCGAAAAGUUAUGCCACUUUGUAGUUUACAACUUUUUCAUUUGAAUUUAUUUACUAUCUCAAACAGACAAUUUACACUCGGUUAAUUAUAAUAUGUGGAGAAUAAAAACGUAACGUUGACAUACGUGGUCCAAUGGUGUAGUGGUAGAGGGAGUUGUUUGUGUGCAGGAGGUCGUGAGUUCGAAAACUAUCAUCGACAAAUUAUGAAAAAUUGCUGAAAAAAAUGUGCAACCCAUUAGAUGGGUCACUAGUUGGAUGUGCAUGCAUGCCUCCCCAAUAAAUUCUUUCUUUUCUAUUUUAUUUUUUUGGAUUUUUUUCAAUUUACAUUUUGCCAAGUGCUUUUCUUUGCCGAGUGUUUUUUGGCACUCGGCAAAACCUUUGCCGAGUGCCUUUGCCGAGUGCCCGACAAAACGCACUUGGCAAAGACGUCUUUACCGACGAAAUCGCUGCCGAGUGCCCUUUGCCGAGUGUUACACUAAUCGGGGCUCCCCUGAUUCCGGUAGUGAAUAUAGCAGAGAUAACGGCCGGUGUAGAAGCAAGCAGAAUACGAUAGCAAAUCAAUCAUCCCCAUCAUCAAUUACAUACAGCUAACCAUAAUGAGGCCAUUCUAUUGUCCCUUCUACCGGAGCUGUCUAGGGUUAACUAGGCUUUAAGACUAAUAACAGCCAUCUCGGUGCCUGGUAAGUGCUAACUAUCCGUUCCAAACAGAGAUUACCGAGGCAACAAAUUCGAUCACGGCUACAGCGUACAGCCAAUCGCGUAGGCACAGAUAGCUCCAACCCACAGCCAAUCGCGUCGGAGCAGCAGCAGCAGCAAGCAGACAAGCCAGCAAUCAAUCAACUCAUCCCGCGUGUGUUCAGGAGAGGGCAGGAGGGAAGAGGGAGGCGUACCCGACGCAGGCGACGAAGCGGCGCACCCAGGACGAGAGCGACCCGCAGCUCAGCAGCAUAGCAUCCGGCUCUGCCGCGCCGCCGACGGCGGCCAGUCCACAGCAGUCGCGCCCGCGCCCGCGCCCGCGAUCCCCGGAACCCUACCCCCUGGGCUCUGGUUGGCUGCCACCGGCGGAUUGGGGGAUUCACCUCGCACCGUCAGGCCAGGUAUCUCAUGGUUAGUUCGUCUUCAUCAGCUUGAGUAUCUUGAUAUGGAUGACAUAAAUCUAAGUACAAUAGAUAAUUGGCUUCAUGUGGUAAACAUGAUUCCAUCUCUGAAGACCCUCUACCUUUGGAACUGCUCCCUUCCCAGAGCAAACCAAUUGCUCACUCACAUAAACCUCACAAAACUUGAGAUGCUUGAUUUAUCAACGAACUACUUUGGGCACCCAAUUGCAUCCAGUUGGUUUUGGAACAUAACAAGCAUUCAAGUCCUCGACCUAACUUCAACCUAUCUUUACGGUCCUUUCCCUGAUGCACUAAGACGAAUGACGUCCAUCUCUUUCCUGGGAUUUUGGGAAAAUGGAAAUUCAGCCACGAUGGCAGUAGACUUGAAAACUCUAUGUGAAUUGGAUACUCUGUUGCUCGAUGGGAGCCUAUCAUCUGGGAACAUAACAGAGUUUAUAGAGAAGUUGCCACAAUGUUCUUCUAGCAAAUUACACUACCUAACUUUGAAUGACAAUAAUAUGACAGGAAUAAUGCCACAGGUAAUGGGGCACUUAACCAGCUUACCUACUCUUAGCCUAUCUAACAACAGCAUUAGUGGAUCUAUAUCACCAGGGCUACAGAAUUUCACUAGUUUGCAGGAAUUAUCUCUCAGUUCCAACCACCUUAGUGGUCAGAUACCAUUGCUGCCAAGAGGCCUCGAAAUAUUGGAUUUCUCCAUAAACUUCUUGUCUGGGAAGUUUCACUUCGGAGCUCCAAAUAUUUCAAUGCUAAUUCUAUCCUCUAAUAAAAUUACUGGUCCUAUUCCUGAAAAGUUUUGUGAGUUGCGAUAUCUAAGUGACUUGGAUUUGUCAAACAAUUCUUUCGCGGGAGGACUUCCUAUAUGUUCUUCGAUGCCACACCUACGCUCCUUGCUCCUAAGUGACAACGAAUUUUCUGGAAAGUUCCCAUCCUUGAUCCAAAGCCUCCCCAAUCUAACUUUGCUUGAUCUUUCAUGGAACAAAUUCUAUGGGACAUUACCAAUAUAGAUCGGACAUCUGGCAGAGCUGCGAUUCCUAGAUCUGAGCCACAACAUGUUAUAUGGGAGUAUUCCAGUGAAUAUCACACAUCUUAGACAACUUCAACUCUUGAGUUUAUCAUUCAACAAUAUAUCAGGAUCAAUUCCUCAGUCAUUAUCAAAGCUAAUGGCAAUGACAAAAACGCAUAUGCCCGGACCUACAACUUAUCUAUUUGAUUGGUACACAAGUUGGGAAAAUAAUAAGUUCCUUGAUAUUUUGUCUGCAGUGACGAAGCAUCAACAACACAAGUAUGGCGCACAAAGUAUUUUUUCUAUUGUUGAACUUGUAAAUCAAUCAUUUAACUGGAGGAAUUCCAGAUGAAAUGGCUUCUCUUGACGGAUUGAUAUACUUAAAUUUGUCAAGAAAUUGCUUGAGAGGAAACAUUCCAAAGAAUAUUGGCGCUAUGGAAUUAGUGGAAUCAGUUGACUUCUCAUGGAACAGUCUUUCUGGUGAAAUCCGUGCAAGCUUGUCGGACUUGACAUUUUUAAGUGUCUUGGACUUGUCAUAUAACAAUCUAUCAGGAAGAAUACCGUCUGGACGUCAGCUUGAGACCGUCUACGACAACAACCCAACUAUGUAUGAUGGGAAUAAUAAUCUCUGUGGACCCCCGCUUCAGAGAAACUGCUCAUCAGGAAAUAGUGAUCCUAAGCAUGGUAAUGAAAAGGCAAGCGGAGAGAAUUCAGAGUCAUUGUUCUUUUACUUCGGACUUGUAUCAGGGUUCGCAGUUGGCCUCUGGGGGGUGCUGUGUGCUCUACUCUUCAAGAAGCCAUGAAGAAUUGCUUUUAUCCAGUAGCAUAUUUAUUGUUGUGUAAUCAUAAAUCAUCAUUUUAAUUUGAGGCCGGCACUCUGUUGGGGUUGGAUAUAUUAAUAACAUGUGGGAUUGCAUGUGGUCAGCUUGCUGAACGGAAUUGCAUGUGGGAUCAGCGAGGUCCUAUACACCAUUAAUAACAAAGACGGCAUGCAUGGCUCGAAAGCCAUGUCACCGGCAUUAUUUCUCGAACACGAAACCUAACCAUUAAUAAGGCUAGUAGGUUCGUGGAGAGUUUUAUCGCAUUAAAUUCGAUGCCACAUCAUCAAUUUUAUUGACAAAACAAGAAGAGAGAAGGAAAGAGUUAUAGGGAAUGUGAUAGGAGUUUCAUCACCCUAAAACUCACAUGGCACAGUUACCUAGAUUAGAGGCGGGCUUAGAAUUGGAAGACUGGGUAUUAAAAAAAUUCAAAAUCUAUAAAAACUUAACCGUCUUGACACUAUUUUUUUAGCAAAAAUAUUCUUAAAUACCAUUGAUUUGUAAAAAAUAAUGGGUAUUCAGUGAAUACCCUUGAAUACCCGGACCCGUCCCUGAUCUCGUUUCCAGUCUUGAUAAGUGUACCAUAAAAACCGUAAAAUUGUGCUCUGUGGCUGCCAUAGCGAGGCAUGCAUAAUGUUUCUGCCGUCCUUGCUUGGUGGGUCCAUUCUUGCAUUGGUCACGUAACGUCGGGAAGUUCCCUAAACCGGAGCAGCAGCAGCCUUGCAUUCAUCAGUUCGUCGCCAUAUCAACAAGACAACAACGACCGCGGAUGACGGAGCAGGCGGGAGGCGGGAGGCGGGAGGCGUGGGCUUUCAUCGGGCCAGGCAGGAACUCCUUCCGCCCUGUAUCGUCAAGACAGCAACAUUAGUGCCGUAUCGAUUUGCUAACCUCGAGGGACCAGGCUCAAAUAAGCGCAAUGGCCGCGUCGGGGUUGGAAGGAGGGAAACGGGCCUGAGCGGGCCUGAGCUUAACUCUGUUAAAAGCACGAUUGCCCCGGGUUGGUUGGUGGACUAGGCGUGGGCUCUCUCUCGGCCCAUACCGAUGACGACAUCCGAAACUCUGGGCCCCUCCCACGCAGCUGGGCUCCUGUCUGAGUGGCAAGGCCUCCGUGUGCCGUGGAGCCUGCUUCUUCUUCUCGUGGGGCAGCGUUGGGCUCGACCCAGCCCUCCUUCCAACUCCACCCCCAACCCUUUUUGUUUUUUCUCUCUGCGCUUGUACCACGUCAGGCCAAAUGGCCACAGUGCAGACAACAAGAGAUAAAGAUCUUUCACAGUAAAGCAAGAAAACAAACCUUGCAAGUGCAAGUUGUCCUCCACAUGAGCGCACUCGUAUGGUAGUAAAAGUGUUGGCGGAGCAACACCUCUAGCUCUUUCUCUAAAGAAGAAAAGAAACAGAGCGCAUUCAUUCCUAAAUUGCUAUGAAUACAAGCGUGCGCGCAUUCAGCGGUAAUGCACGUUUCUCCAAUCUUUUCUCUACCAUGUGCAUGAACGCGCACGCGUGUGUAUGAUGUGAGUGUUGUGUGCGUCCUUGUAUGUACCCUUAAAAAGAUCCCCAAACAAUUUCAGAAAUCUCUUUGCGGCGUGAUGCCAAAAGAGGAAUACGAGAUGCCUUUUUGAUCUCUCUGAACACCUGGUGGACGUGUGUGCAAAAACCGAGCCUAGCUAAGAUGCAGCGGCCGAACACAGUUGGGCGUGAGAUCACAAUGCAAACGGCGGACGGGCGGAGGGAUAGUUCCACGGCUAUCCCAUCUCCAUUUUCCGGCAAAGGGGACGGAGCAACUUGCGGGGGGCUAUACAUGUGUGACUCCACGAGGCUUACAGAUUUUAGAUCAGUGGCGUCCCGGUUGCUCUACGAUCUAGUUGCUAUCGUCUUCGCAAAUCUCUGCUGGAUUGAAACCGGGUCAAUGUCGACGAUCGAGAGAGAGAUGGCCGUAGCUCGCAUUGCAAUCUCGUGAAAAGCGAGAGACCUUUGCGACGGCGUUGCCUUUUGUCCGCCACACUAAUCCAACAAAGCAAGUCCACGUAAAAGCCAUUCUAAAGCUUGACGACGAUAGGUAACGACAAGACACACUCAAGAAACAGAUAUGCACAAAAAAAUGCACUACCUCUGUUCUAAAAUAUAAUAAGUUUUUGACCACCUCUGUCACUAAAUAUAACAACUUUUUGACCAAGUCAAAGUUAAAUAUUUUUCAUCUUUGACCAAUAAUAUCUCAAAAAAUAAUUAUUUUUAAAUAGAAAAGGUUAUAUGUUGGUUUCAUUAUGAACAAACUAAUAUCACUUUUAUAUCAUCAAUCUUUAUAUUCUUUUUACCAUCUACGGUCAAAGUUUAAAAGGUUUGGUUUGCACAAACCUAAAAAUAGCUAUAUUUUGAGAUAGAGGUAGUAGGAAGAAAAAAUCAGUUGGCACUAAAAUCAUGGAUUACAGGAUAGGUAGUGAGCAUAGCUCAGUUACAAAUGUGACAGUAGUAAUAUCUGAACCGCCAAAGUUCAAUUCCUCCACACCUCAAUUUUAAGUGCCUAUUUCUUCUCUCUAAUCUAAUUUUUAGUGGUGUAAUUAAAUCACCACCUAGUUCCUUCAAGAUUGGAUUUCGAGCGGCAGCAGGACAAGAAAAUGACAGAGUAAAAUUGCUGUAUCCAGCCUCCCAGAAGCAGAGCAACAAGCCCAUAGUUGAGCUUCAGAUCAUGCAUGACACGGACGCUGGAUGUUCCUUUGCCGCGGCCGUCUCCAUUGGCGACGACGGGGAGCAACUCGUAACAUUGCAGCCUAACUUUAUUAGUAGCGUCCCUGUUGCUUGCAACUGCAGAGUUGCAAUGCAGUCGCUUUCACCUUCAGAAAUCUCCACCGGAUUUAUUUAAGCCGGGUCAAGGUCCACGAGAAAGAUAGCGGUUGCUUGCAUCGCAAUCUGACUUGAAUUGCAAUGAAGUUAACUAGAAUGUUUGGAUCGCAUCAAAAACUUAAGAGCACACAAAGGUCAGACCUUCUAGCACUCUACUGGCAGAUAUAGCUUGGCUCAUUGCAAGGUAUUACAUACACACCACCACUCCGCUACCAAGUUCUUGCUACUUAUCGUGACCGCCACCUCGAGCUUCUUGUUGGUGGUGUCGCAUGGAUUGUCGCGGCAGCUCCAGCCGAACGCGAGCUGCUUGCUGCAUGAGAGGGAAGCGUUGCUGGCUUCAAGGAAAACAUCAGCCGCGACCCUGAUGGUAUCGUCAAGUCGUGGCAGCGAGGGCGGAAUGACUGCCGCCGGUUGAUAGCAUCCUCGUGCGGGCCUUCUUCCAUUUUCGGAAUAUUUUUUAAAAUUUUUUGGAUAUCCGACGCUUUAGUAAUGGUUAGUGUUUAUCAAGCGAUAUUAAAGGCACUUUUAGUACCAGGUCAUAUGACCGGUACUAAUGAUUGGUCUUACACUUUUAAGUAAUUUUGAAUAAACUGCUUUGCUGUUAGUACGUCUAAAUUUAUUGUGAAAAUAGCUGAAAAUUGCGUGACAUGAAUACAUGAGGGAGUACUACUUUGGUCCAAACGCAGCCAAAUGAAAAAGAAAAAAAAAUGCUAGCGCAACGCACAACAGACAUUGCAUGCAUGCGCUUUUCUUCAAACAAAAUGAAAUCCCAUAUAUUGUGGCUUGUUGCAGCUAGCACGCGAGUGCCAAACAGAAUUUUUAUCAGUCAUUUUAUAUUCUACAAAAUCGGUUUGUGCGAGCUUAUUACUGUGGCGAAGCUAUAUCCCCUCCAAUUUGCUAUAUCCCCUCUAGGGGUGCGCAUGCACCCACAUCAAAAUGCAAAAUCGAUUAUUAGGAGCAACUUUUCACCAUGUAUAACGAUCGAAUACAUAAACCCAUGAGGUAAGUGCAUCCCGUCCAAUUUACUCUAGUUUCGUCACUCUGAGCAUACAAAUCUUUAUGAUCCAAAUGUAGUACCUAGGUAUGUGGUCAUAGGACAAGGUCUACCGAUCGAUCGAAUCUCCAACAAGCGCUCAUAGCUUGUACUUGUUGUGAUCGUUUGUAAAAACUUAUUUAAUAAAACUUAUCCUCCAUGCAUAUGUGUGAAGGAAAAACGUUGUGAACAUGGUCGUCUGUCCAAACCUGGCAUUCCACGUCUGUUUCCAACCCCAACCGGUCCUGCCUUGGACGAACACAACAGCUUGCCAGGCAGGUCGUUGCGCAGGGGGACCAAGAUCAGACCGUGCCCAGAUCCCAUCUCCCAAGUUCAAACUGGCAGGUGAAAUCGACCCGGCCUCCUUCCCUUCCCAUGAGCUCGGCAGAAAUAGGAGCACGUGUCUAUUUGAAUCCGAGUGACUAAACUUUAGUCAUAUCAUAUCGAAUAUUUGAACAUAUCGAAUAUUUAAACACCAAUUAGAAGUACUAAAUAUAGCUAACUAUAAACUACUUGCACAUAUGAAGACUAAUUCACGAGAUGAAUAUAUUAAGUCUAAUUAAUCCAUCAUUAGCAUAUAUUUAUUGUAGCACAAUAUUGCCAAAUUAUGGACUGAUUAGGCUUAAUAGAUUCGUCUCACGAAUUAAUCUCCAUUUAUGCAAUUAGUUUUAUAAUUAAUCUAGUAAACCCAACGAAGAAAUCGUAGCUAGUCAGUGUUGGUCAACCGAACGAGAUUCCACGUGGGUCCUGCAAGGUCUGAGCACUAACCUAACCUAAUCUGUGUUUUGUCAUCGAUGGUCUACCGUGUGUGGUGGGCCGUAUCUACGAACGCGCGCCGGGCGCAUGGCGUUGUUUUUUGCCCCAGCAUGCAAUUGGGCCAGGGAUUACAUUAAUGCCGCAUCGAUUUACUAACCUCGGGAGACCAGCCGUGAUGAAGCCCACGGCGCCUCGGGGUCGGAAGGGGGCGAUUGUGGAUCGCGGGUGGGCUGAAAAUGCGCCAGCUCCGGCGCCGUGCCGCUCCGAUGCCUCCACCGUCACCCUCCACCACGGCCACCGCUAACCCGAACUUGUUCCUCAACUCCGGCCGAGCUGAUGACGACACCGGAAAUUCUGGGGAGCCUCCCACACAGCUUGGGCUCCUGACCGAGGCAACACCGAUUUAAUGCAUGCUGGGAUCGCUGCCUAUAAUGGACGGCGACUGCUAACGCAUCCAAAUGGGCUUUGCCUCAGGAAAAGGCCUCCGUACCGUGGGCCUGCUUUCUUCUCGUUGGGCAGCAUUGGGCUCGACCCAGCCCCCUCCUUCCAACUCCACCCCCACUCUCUUUUUUGUUUUUCUUCCCCUGCCAGAGUCGUAGCCAUCUCCGGAUUUGCUUGGUUCCUGUUUGUGUGGUGAGGUCAGGCUGCCGCGUCAGCGCCUCGCCUUUGUCUGCCGGCAUGACACUACACCAAAACAGCUCAAUUUCGUCGUCGGCCUACGGGAAGCCGAUAAAAACCACUAAAUUAUUUCGUCGGCUUAUCCAAGCCGAUGAAAUUAUACGUAUUUUCGUCGGCCUGACGAGUACCGACGAAAUAAAUGUUAUAUUUUCGUCGGCUUGACUGAAACCGAUAAAAAUAAGUGUAAUUUCGUCGGCAUCAUUUGAGCUACCCUAAUAGCGGCUCCCACGUAGUUUUCUUUCUUUCUCCCUAGCCGCCGCAUAGCCGCCUCAGCUCUGCCCACCGCCGCCCCCGCUGCCGCCGCCCCCGCCCGCCACGCCGCCCCUGCCCCGGCCGCCCGCCGCCGAGCUUGGGUGGAGGAGCGGUGCGGAGGAGCGGCGCGGGGUGGCCGGGCGCGGCAAGCUUGGGCGGAGGCGGCGGCGCGGGGUGGCCGAGCGCGACGAGCUCGGAGGAGCAGUGGUGCGGCCAGGCACGACGAGCUCCCUCCGCUGUCCGCCCAUGCGGAGGUCGUGGCAGGAGCGGCGCGACGCGGCCGGGCACGGCGAGCUCCCCUCCACCCUCCGCCGCACGGAGGCUGGGGCAAGGGCGGCGCCGAGCCUGCGUGGUGGCCUGGGCAGGGGCGGUGCGACCCAGCCGGCACGGCGAGUUCUCUUCGCCCGCGCGGAGCCUGGGGUAAGGGGUGGCCAAGCAGCGCGCGGCGGGCGGCGCCGAGCUCCGGCGCAAGGGCCGGCGGCGCGUAGCGGGGCGGUCUGCGCGGCUUAGGCCGAGGAGCGAAGCGGGGCAGCCGGGCGUGACGAGCUCGGAGGAGCAGCGGCGCGACCAGGCACGGCGAGCUCCCUCAGCCCGCGCGGAGGCCAGGGCAGGGGCGGUGCGACGCAGCCUGGCACGGCGAGCUCCCCUCUACCCUCCGCGGAGGCCGGGGUAGGGGAGGCGCCGAGCCUGCGUGGCGGCCUGGGCAGGGGCAGUGCCUCUCUACAGAUUCUUCUUCGCAUGGCUGAGUACAAAUCAUCGGCAUCAUCUCUCUCUUCUUCUUCCAAAGAAGCACUAGCUAGCUCUCUCAUUCCUACGAGAUGCAUAGCAGUAGCAGCAUAUCCACAUCCUGCAUCACUCAAGCAUCUUCUCCUAUCUCCUCUCAUUUUUCUUCGUCGAAGCAACACUAGCUACAGUGGCUUACUUUGUUCCAAUCGAAUUGCAUCCAAAUCCAAUCUCUAGCAGCAGCAACCCUCAAAUCAUCUCUGCUUUUCAUGCCAGUUCUCUGUUCUUUUCUCAACCACACAGGAGCAACAGCAGCUGAGCAAGGCCGCAACUUCUCGUCUUCUCUCGUCCAUCUCCCUCAAAUCAACAACAACAGCCUUUAUUGUUGUAUGGCCACUGCGCCACAUCCAGCAGCCUCCAAUACACCGGCACUAGCACGUUCUCCGUGCUCUUCAUUGCGGGCAUCAACGCUUCCAUGAAUGAUGCCCUCAACGUGUUCGAUGAAAUGGGUGCAAGGUAUACAAUUUUUCUUCCUUUUUUAAUUUUUUGCGUGCUGAUUUUGUACAGUCUCCAUCUCUAUUAGUUGUGCUGACGAAAAUGCGUUUAUUUUCGUCGCGUUUAUUCCGUCGGCCUAUUUUCUUCGGCCGACCGACGAAAAUAUAUAUUUUCGACGGUUUUCUCGCUGUUUUCGACGGUUUCUGCCGACAAAAUUAAGCUGUUUUCUUGUAGCGUGAUUGUGAGGAGCUAGGGCGACGCCAUAGGGUAAAAAUUUUUUUCCCACUAACUAAACUUAAAAUUACCAUAUAAUUUUGACAAGUUAUUUUAGUCCCUGAAGGAGUGCACCAUGGUUAAUUGGAAACUAGCUUCGCCCCUGUGCGUAGCGGACACGAGCUUGCGUAGAGCCAGCAAUGGAUCUCCUCAUCCUCAUGUCUGAUGCUGCAACUUUCACUGGAUAUUUCCUUUCAAAAAGAAAUUCACUGGCUACAGUGACCAGAACAACGGUUCCAAGCUUCUCAGUAAGAAUUCAUGGCUGGUGUUCCUUAUUUUUUUUUUUUUUUUGUAUGCUUCCAAAUUCUAUUGUGACUUGUAUUUUUCUGAAUUUUCCUUAUUGGGUUAACGUUUUGUUGCCCAUUUGACACUCUUUUGCUAGAACUUCAUAAGGAGGCCAAUUACUUGACGUGUUAGUGCGUCUUGUGGUCACUAGUCUUUAUUUGAAUAUUCAAUCACGUAGUCAACUUGUGGUGACAACUACACUACCAAGUAAUUUUCAUUCUUGCCGUGUCAUAUAAUCUCGAUUAGUGCCAUUUUAUAGUCUACUAAAUAGGUUUGGGCGAAGCUCACAUGCACCCACACCAAAAUGCAAAAUCAACAAGCAAAUUUUCACCAUGUGUAAUGAUCAAAUUCUUUUAAAAAAUUGUAUAACGAUCAAAUUCAUAAACUCACAAGGCAAACGCACCCCUUCUAAUUUGCUCUAGCUUCACCAUUUCCAGGGUUACCAAUCUUUAUGAUCCAAAAGUAGUACCUACGUCUGUGGUCAUGAGAUCAAGGUCUACCGGUCCAAUCUCCGUUCCGCGUAUGUGUGACGGAAAAACGCUGUCUAAUUGGAACCCCAUUUUUCCUUGUGUUUUCCAGCCAUGCAUGCUAGGUGUUACGUCGUUGUUAGUUGUUGCUCAGUUUACGUGGACCGCAACGUCUUAUUCCACAACUUUAUGUGGUCACCAGCCUUUGAAAAUUCUCCGACGUGCUCUUCAGUCAAUGAAGUUAGAUAGAUCUUUGGAUCGCAGCAGGAAUUUAAGAGCACACACAGCUCAGGCCUUCUAGCACUCUACUAGCAGAUAGCUUUGCUCAUUGCCAGGUACUGCAUACACAGACCACACCACUUACUAUGCAUCCCUCCGCUGCCAAGUUCUUGCUUCUUCUCGUGGCCGCCGCCUCGAGCUUCUUGUUGGUGGCAUCGCAUGGACUGCCGCCGCGGCAGCUCAAGCGGAACGCGAGCUGCUUGCCGCACGAGAGGGACGCGUUGCUGGCCUUCAAGGAAAACAUCACCAGCGACCCUGAAGGCAUCCUCUCGUCGUGGCGACGAGGGCGGAAAGACUGCUGCCGGUGGAUGGGCGUCAUCUGCAGCAGCCAAACCGGCCAUGUCCUCGAGCUUGAUCUAAGCGAUAGAAAUUUGGCAGGCCAGAUAAGUCCUUCCUUACUGUCUCUAGAGCAUCUGGAGCACUUGGAUUUAGGCGGCACAUACUUAUCUGGUCAUGAUGGUCAUUUUCCCGAAUUCCUGUGUUCUUUCAAAAACUUGCGAUAUCUCAACCUCUCGUUGUUGUCGUUUGCGAGCAGACUGCCUGCUCAACUUGGCAACCUUUCCACAUUAGAAUACCUUGACCUCACCGACGCAUACUCUUUGCCGAGUGAGGUGCCGCCUCAGCUCGGUAACCUCUCAAACCUGCGACAUCUUGAUCUCGCUCAUAAUUAUUUGUACACAACUGAUAUCUCAUGGUUAGUUCGUCUUCAUCAGCUUGAGUAUCUUGAGAUGGCAGGCAUAAAUCUAAGUACAAUAGAUAAUUGGCUUCAUGCGGUAAACAUGAUUCCAUCUCUGAAGUCUCUCUCCCUUUCGAACUGCUCCCUUCCCAGAGCAAACCAAUGGCUCACUCACAUAAACCUCACAAAACUUGAGAUGCUUGAUUUAUCCAUGAACUACUUUGGGCAUCCAAUUGCAUCCAGUUGGUUUUGGAACAUAACAAGCAUUCAACACCUCGGGCUAAGUUCAACCUAUCUUUACGGUCCUUUCCCUGAUGCACUAGGACGAAUGACGUCCCUUUAUUACCUGGGAUUUACGAAAAAUGGAAACUCAGCCACGAUGGCAGUGGACUUGAAAAAUCUAUGUGAAUUACGUACUCUGGAGCUCGAUGGGAGCCUAUCAUCUGGGAACAUAACUGAGUUCAUAGAGAAGUUGCCACAAUGUUCUACUAGCAAAUUAGGCUGGCUAAGUUUGAAAGAUAAUAAUAUGACAGGAAUAAUGCCACAGGUAAUGGGGCACUUAACCAGCUUAACUGCUCUUAGCCUAUCUAACAACAGCAUUAGUGGAUCUAUAUCACCGGGGCUACAGAAUUUCACUAGUUUGGAGGAAUUAUAUCUCAGUUCCAACUACCUUAGUGGCCAGAUACCAUUGCUGCCAAGAGGCCUCAAAAUGUUGGAUGUCUCCGUGAACUUCUUGUCUGGGCAUUUGCACUUCGGAGCUCCAAAUAUUGAAGUACUAAUUCUAUCCUCUAAUAAAAUUACUGGUCCUAUUCCUGAAAAGUUUUGUGAGUUGCAAUAUCUACAUGUCUUGGAUUUGUCAAACAAUUAUUUCGCGGGAGAACUUCCUGUAUGUUCUUCGAUGCCAUACCUACACUGCUUGCUCCUAAGUUACAACAAAUUUUCUGGAAAGUUCCCAUCCUUGAUCCAACGCCUCUCCAAUCUAACUUUGCUUGAUCUUUCAUGGAACAAUUUCUAUGGGACAUUACCAAUAUGGAUCGGACAUCUGGCAGAGCUGCGAUUCCUAGAUCUGAGCCACAACAUGUUACAUGGGAGUAUUCCAGCGAAUAUCACACAUCUUAGACGACUUCAACUCUUAAAUUUAUCAUUCAACAAUAUAUCAGGAUCAAUUCCUCAGUCAUUAUCAAAGCUAAUGGCAAUGACAAUAAUAUAUCAGGAUCAACCUGAUUGGUACGUAGGUUGGGUAAAUAAUGAGUUCCUAGAUAUUUUGUCUGCAGUGACGAAGCAUCUACAACACAAGUAUGCCGCACAAAGUAUUUUUUAUAUUGUUGACAUCGACUUGUCUGUCAAUCAUUUAAUUGGAGGAAUUCCAGAUGAAAUAGCUUCUCUUGAUGGAUUGAAAUACUUAAAUUUGUCAAGGAAUUGCUUGAGAGGAAACAUUCCAAAGAAUAUUGGCGCUAUGGAAUUAGUGGAAUCAGUUGACUUCUCAUGGAACAGUCUUUCUGGUGAAAUCCCUGCAAGCUUGUCAAACUUGACAUUUUUAAGUGUCUUGGACUUGUCAUAUAACAAUCUAUCAGGAAGAAUACCGUCUGGGCGUCAGCUUGAGACCGUCUACGACAACAACCCAACUAUGUAUGAUGGGAAUAAUAAUCUCUGCGGACCCCCUCUUCAGAGAAACUGCUCAUCAGGAAAUAGUGAUCCUAAGCAUGGUAAUGAAAAGGCAAGCGGAGAGAAUUCAGAAUCAUUGUUCUUUUACUUGGGACUUGUAUCAGGGUUCGCAGUUGGCCUCUUGGGGGUGCUGUGUUCUGUACUCUUCAAGAAGCCAUGAAGAAUUGCUUUUAUCCAGUAGCAGAUUUAUUGUUGUGUAAUCAUACAUCAUCAUUUUAAUUUGAGGCCGGCACUCUGUUGGGGUUGGAUAUAUUAAUAACAUGUGGGAUUGCAUGUGGUCAGGUUGCUGAACGGAAUUGCAUGUGGGAUCAGCGAGGUCGUACACCAUUAAUAACAUAGACGGCAUGCAUGGCUGGAAAGCCACGUCACCAGCAUUAUUUCUCGAACACGAAACCUAACCAUUAAUAAGGCUAGUAGGUUCAUGGAGAGUUUUAUCACAUUAAAUUCGAAAAUACCAUAUCAUCAAUUUUGCUGACAAAACGAGAAUAGAGAAGGAAAGAGUUAUAGGGGAUGCGAGAGGAGUUUCAUUGCCUAAAACUCACGUGGCACAGUUACCUAGUUCAGAGGCGGGCUCAGAAUUGGAAGACUGGAUAUUCAAAAAUUUAAAAUCUAUAACAACUUAACCGUUUCAACACUAUUUUUUAGCAAAAAUAUUCUUAAAUACUAUUGAUUUGUAAAAAAUAAUGGGUAUUCAGUGAAUACCCUUGAAUAUCCUCACCCGUCUCUGAUCUGGUUUCCAGUCUUGAUAAGUGAACUAUAAAACUGUACACUGAGACCGGCAUAACAAGACAUGCAUAAUGUUUCUGCCGUCCUUGCUUGAUGGGUCCAUUCUUGCAUUGGUCACGUCACGUCGGGAAGUUCCCUAAACCGGAGCAGCACCCACCUUGCAUUCAUCAGUUCGUCACUGUAUCAACAAGACAACAACGACCACGGAUAACGGAGCAGGCGGGAGGCGGGAGGCGGGAGGCGUGGGCUUUCAUCGGGCCAGGCAGGAACUCCUUCCUCCCUGUAUCGUCAAGACAGCAACAUUACUGCCGUAUCGGUUUGCUAACCUCAGGAGACCAGGCUCAAAUAAGCGCAACGCGGCCCACCCGUCGGGGUUGGAAGGAGGGAAACGGGCCUGAGCUUAACGCUGUUAAAAGCGCGAUUGCCUCGCGUUGGUUGGUGGACUAGGCGUGGGCUCGUUGGCUCUCUCUCGGCCCAUACCGAUGACGACAUCCAAAACUCUGGGCCCCUCCCACGCAGCUGAGCUCCUGUCUGAGAGGCAAGGCCUCCGUGUGCCGUGGAGCCUGCUUCUUCUUCUCGUGGGGCAGCGUUGGGCUCGAUCCAGCCCUCCUUCCAACUCCACCCCAACCCUUUUUGUUUCUUUUUCUCUGCGCUUGUACCACGUCAGGCCAAAUGGCCACAGUGCAGACAACAAGAGAGAAAAGAUCUUUCACAGUAAAGCAAGAAAAGAAACCUUGCAAGUGCAAGUUGUCCUCCACAUGAGCGCACUCAUAUGGUAGUAAAAGUGUUGGCGGAGCAACACCUCUAGCUCUUUCUCCAAAGAAGAAAAGAAACAGAGCGCAUUCAUUCCUACAUUGCUAUGAAUACAUGCGUGCGCGCGUUCAACGGUAAUGCACUUUCUCCAAUCUUUUCUCUACCAUGUGUAUGAACGCGCACGCGCGCGUAUGAUGUGAGUGUUGUGUGCGUCCUUGUAUGUACCCUUAAAAAAGAACCCCAAACAAUUUCAAAAACCUCUUUGCGGGAUGAUGCCAAAAGAGGAAUACGAUAUGCCCUUUUGAUCUCUCCGAACACCUGGUGGACGUGUGUGCAAAAACCAAGCCUAGCUAAGAUGCAGCGCCCGAACACAGUUGGGCGUGAGAUCACGAUGCAGACGGCGGACGGGCAGAGGGAUAGUUCCACGGCCAUCCCCAUCUCCAUUUUGCGGCGAAGGGGACGGAGCAACUUGCGGGGGCCAUACAUGUGUGACUCCAUGAGGCUUACAGAUUUUAGAUCAGUGGCGUCCUGGUUGCUCUAUGAUCUAGUUGCUAUCGUCUUCGCAAAUCUCUGCUGGAUUGAAACCGGGUCAAUGUCGACGAUCGAGAGAGAGAUGGCCGUAGCUCGCAUCGCAAUCUCGUGAAAAGCAAAAGACCUUUGCGACGGCGCUGCCUUUUGUCCGCCACGCUAAUCCAACAAAGCAACUCCACGGAAAAGCCAUUCUAAAGCUUGACGACGAUUGGUAACAACAAGACACACUCAAGAAACAGAUAUGCACAGAAAAAUGUACUACCUCUGCUCUAAAAUAUAACAAUUUUUUACCACCUCUGUUACAAAAUAUGACAACUUUAUGACCAAGUCAAAGUUAAAUAUUUUCAUCUUUGACCAAUAAUAUCUCAAAAAAUAAUAACUUUUAAAUAGAAAAGGUUAUAUAUUGGUUUCAUUAUGAACAAACUAAUAUCACUUUUAUAUCAUCAAUCUUUAUAUUCUUUUUACCAUCUGCGGUCAAAGUUUAAAAGGUUUGGUUUGAACAAACCUAAAAAUAGCUAUAUUUUGAGUCAGAGGUAGUAGGAUGAAAAAAAUCAGUUGGCACUAGAAUCAUGGAUAACAGGAUAGGAAGUGAGCAUAGCUCAGUUACAAAUGUGACAGUAGUAAUAUCUGAACCGCCAAAGUUCAAUUCCUCCACACCUCAAUUUUAAGUGCCUAUUUCUUCUCUCUAAUCUAAUUUUUAGUGGUGUAAUUAAAUCACCACCUAGUUCCUUCAAGAUUGGAUUUCGAGCGGCAGCAGAACAAGAAAAUGACAAAGUAAAAUUGCUGUAUCCAGCCUUCCAGAAGCAGAGCAACAAGCCCAUAGUUGAGCUUCAGAUCAUGCAUGACACGGACGCUGGAUGUUUCUUUGCCCCGGCCGUCUCCAAUGGCGACGACGGGGAGCAACUUGUAACGUUGCAGCCUAACUUUGUUAGUAGCGUCCCUGUUGCUUGCAACUGCAAAGCUGCAAUGCAGUCGCUUUCGCCUUCAGAAAUCUCCACCUCAUUUAUUUAAACCGGGUCAAGGUCCACGAGAGAGAAAGAUAGCGGUUGCUUGCAUCGCAAUCUGACUUGAAUUGGCGGGGAGCUGCAGGCGAGGAAAAUGAUAGGUGAUUAAUUAUUAAUCAAGUCCGUCUUCACAUACAGAGCCUGCUCGCAUCUUCACGCCGUCUUCACAUACAGAGCCUGCUUGGUUACCGCCACCGGACACCACUCGCCACGCACGUGCUGCAUGGCGAGUGGUGGCCGGUAACCAGGCCCAUACUUCCCUGAUUAAUCAGUGAUGUGGUUCUCUCCAAGAGCACAACUACGUUAAUUUGGCCUUGAGAUCUCUUCUACGUUUUCCUUUUUUGAUCAUCGUUUUGUUUUUUGUCAUAACUUUUUAUGGUGGUGAUGUUGUGAUCACAUCUAAUAUAUAUGGGUGAUAAAUCAAUCUACUGUUCCCAUAGAUAUAUAUAUAUAUAUAUAUAUAUAUAUAUAUAUACACACACACACACAAAGCGCACUUUUUGUCAUAACUUUUUAGAUAAGAAAAUGUAGCAUAUUAGUUCCUUUUCAGAGCUGAGAUGCUGCAUUUUUUAUCUUUUUUCAGAUAGCCACUGAUGAGCACCUACUAUUGCCAAGGCAUGAGAAUCAAAUGCCCCCCUUAAUUUUCGAGGAGAUGCGAGAACAAAUGGGGAGGGCCCUCCCAUGUCCCAUAUCAUGAGAUCGAGAUUAAGAAACCCCGCCCAUCCAAUCCAACAGCCGCCAGAUUCCAGCCAGACCUAACUAUUAAUAACAUAGACGGCAUGCAUGGCUCGAAAGUCACGUCACCAGCAUUAUUUCUCGAACACGAAACCUAACCAUUAAUAAGGCUAGUAGGUUCUUAGAGAGUUUUAUUGCAUUAAAUUCGAUGCCACAUCAUCAAUUUUACUGACAAAACCAGAAGAGAGAAGAAAAGAGUUAUAGGGAAUGUGAGAGGAGUUUCAUCACCCUAAAACUCACGUGGCACAGUUACCUAGUUUAGAGGCGGGCUUAGAAUUGGAAGACUGGGUAUUCAAAAAUUCAAAAUCUAUAAAAACGUAACCGUCUCAACACUAUUUUUUAGCAAAAAUAUUCUUAAAUACCAUUGAUUUGUAAAAAAUAAUGGGUAUUCAGUGAAUACCCUUGAAUAUCCUCACCCGUCCCUGAUCUGGUUUCCAUUUUUGAUAAGUGUACCAUAAAAACUAUAUUAUAAAACUUUGCACUGAGACUGGCAUAACGAGGCAUGCAUAAUGUUUCUGCCUUCCUUGCUCGGUCGGUUCAUUCUUGUGUUGGUCACGUCACGUCGGGAAGUUCCCUAAACCGGAGCAGCAGCCACCUUGCAUUCAUCAUUUCGUCGUCGUAUCAACAAGACAACAACUACCGCGGAUGACGGAGUAGUCGGGAGGCGGGAGGCGUGGGCUUUCAUCGGGCCAGGCAUGAACUCCUUCCUCCCUGUCUCGUCAAGACAGCAACACUAGUGCCGUAUCGGUUUGCUAACCUCGGGGGACCAGGAUCAAAUAAGCGCAACACGGCCCACCCGUCAAGGUUGGAAGGAGGGAAACGGGCCUGAGCUUAACGCCGUUAAAAGCGCGAUUGCCCCGGGUUGUUUGGUGGACUAGGCGUGGGCUCUCUCUCGGCCCAUACCGAUGACGACAUCCGAAACUCUGGGCCCCUCCCACGCAGCUGGGCUCCUGUCUGAGAGGCAAGGCCUCCGUGUGCCGUGGAGCCCCUGCUUCUUCUUCUCGUGGGGCAGCGUUGGGCUCGACCCAGCCCUCCUUCCAACUCCACCCCCAACCCUUUUUGUUUUUUUUCUCUUUGCGCUUGUACCACGUCAGGCCAAAUGGCCACGGUGCAGACAACAAGAGAUAAAGAUCUUUCACAGUAAAGCAAGAAAACAAACCUUGCAAGUGCAAGUUGUCCUCCACAUGAGCGCACUCAUAUGGUAGUAAAAGUGUUGGCAGAGCAACACCUCUAGCUAAACAGAGCGCAUCCAUUCCUAAAUUGCUAUGAAUACAAGCGUGCGCGCGUUCAGCGCUAAUGCAGGUUUCUCCAAUCUUUUCUCUACCAUGUGUAUGAACGCGCAGGCGCGUGUAUGAUGUGAGUGUUGUGUGCGUCCUUGUAUGUACCCUUAAAAAGAUCCCCAAACAAUUUCAGAAACCUCUUUGCGGGGUGAUGCCAAAAGAGGAAUAAGAGAUGCCCUUUUGAUCUCUCCGAACACCUAUACCUGGUGGACGUGUGUGCAAAAAUCGAGCCUAGCUAAGAUGCAGCGGCCGAACACAGUUGGGCGUGAGAUCAUGAUGGAGACGGCGGACGGGUGGACGGAUAGUCCCAUGGUCAGAACACAGUUGGGCGUGAGAUCACGAUGCAGACGGCGGACAGGCGGAGGGAUAGUUCCACGGCCAUCCCCAUCUCCAUUUUCCGGCGAAGGGGACGGAGCAACUUGCGGAGGGCCAUACAUGUGUGACUCCAUGAGGCUUACAGAUUUUAGAUCAGUGGCGUCCCGGUUGCUCUACGAUCUAGUCGAUAUCGUCUUCGCAAAUAUCUGCUGGAUUGAAACCGGGUCAAUGUCGACGAUCCAGAGAGAGAUGGCUGUAGCUCGCAUUGCAAUCUCGUGAAAAGCAAGAGACCUUUGCGACGGCGCUGCCUUUUGUCCGCCACGCUAAUCCAACAAAGCAACUCCAUGUAAAAGCCAUUCUAAAGCUUGACGACGAUAGGUAACGACAAGACACACUCAAGAAACAGAUAUGCACAUCGCAAUGGGUACAACAGGUACUCUCACAUCUCUUCUCUUGUUCUCCGUUCUCCCCAAUUUACCCCAACCCCAGGGACUAUUUAGCUGAUUCGUUUUCACUGCAAAAAUUGGUAGUGCUAUUUAGUUGUUUAUGCGUACGGAUGGUGAUGAGUCAUGCUCCAAAUGUUCAUUUAUAAUUCAACUCGGUAUUUUUACCACUCCUAGUUUAAAAAUAUGUAAAAUAUAAGUUCAACUCUUUUUAAGUUUGAUCUUUAAAGUUUUAGAUCAUUUAUCAUCCCUAUGUAUAUAUACAUGGUAGUAGGACUGUUGACAAUUUAGACGAAAUCCACCUCGAUUUGGAGUUUUUCUACUUCCUCCGUAAAAAAAGUGCAACUCAUUUUUCAAGAAGUCAAAUAAUUUCAAAUUUGAUCAAGUCUGUACAGAAAAUUAUUAGCAUUUAUAUCUCCAAAUAGAUUUAGUAUGAAAAUAAAUUACAUGAUUGGACUGUCUAAUGAUACUUACUGUAUAAUAUAAUAUUAAUAUUUAUUUUAUAUAAAUUAGAUUAAAUUUAAAAUUAUUUGACUUCUCGGAAAGCGUAAGUUGUAUUUUUCUUGAACGGAGGGGUUAGGUAUCUACGGAGCUCCAAAAUAUAGUAUCCGGGGGCCAGCAUCUAGCAUGUAUUCAAUUUGCUUCACCCUGCUUGGUGCAUGCCUCCUUCUUUUGCCGUUGUUGGAUUGGAUAUCAGCUCGACCAGAUGAUCGCACUCUCUGAUCUUCCCGAGCCUCGUCGUCCUUCUUCCUAGCAAACCCAACGAAGAAAUCAUAGCUAGUCAGUGUUGGUCAACCGAAUGAGAUUCCACGUGGGUCUUGCAAGGUCUGAGCACUAACCUAACCUAAUCUGUGUUUUGUCGUCGAUGGUCUACCGUAUGUGGUGGGCUGUAUCUACGAACACGCGCCGGGCGCACGACGUCGUUUUUGGGCCCAUCAUGCAAUUGGGCCAGGGAUUACAUUAGUGCCGCAUCGAUUUACUAACCACGGGGGACCAGCCGUGACGAAGCCCACGGCGCCUCGGGGUUGGAAGGGGGCGAUUGUGGAUCAUGGGUGGGCCGAACGCGCCGGCUCCGGAGUCGUGCCGCUCCGAUGCCUCCACCGUCACCCUCCACCAUGGCCACCGCUAUCCCGAACUUCUUCUUCAACUCCGGCCGAGCUGAUGACGACACCGGAAAUGCAUGCUAGGAUCGCUGCCUAUAAUGGACGGUGACCGCUAACGCAUCCAAAUGGGCUUUGCCUCGGGGAAAAGGCCUCCGUACCGUGGGCCUGCUUUCUUCUCGUUGGGCAGCGUUGGGCUCGACCCAGCCCCCUCCUUCCAACUUCACCUCCACUCUCCUUUUUUGUUUUUUCCCUGCCGGAGUCGUAGCCAUCUCCGGAUUUGCUUUGUUCCUGUUUGUGUGGUGAGGUCAGGCUGCUGCGUCAGCGCCUCGCCUUUGUCUGCCGGCAUGAUUGUGCAUAGCCAGGGGCGACGCCACGUUAAGUCUGCCCAGGGUAAAUUUUUUUUGCCACUAAUUAAACUUAAAAUUAUCAUAUAAUUCUAAGAAGUUAUUUUAGUCCCUGAAGGAGUGCACCAUGGUCAAUUGGAAACUAGCUUCGCCCCUGUGCGUAGCGGACACGAGCUUGCGUAGAGCCAGCAAUGGAUCUCCUCAUCCUCAUUUCCCAUGCUGCAGCUUUCACUGGAUAUUUCCUUUCAAAAAAAAAAUCACUGGCUACAGUGACCAGCAGGGCAACGGUUCCAAGCUUCUCAGUACAGAAUCAUUGUUGCGGUAUACUAUAUAUCCUUUCUCCGUACUGUAUCCAGCUGAAAUGCUUCCAAAAUUCUAUUGUGACUUGUAUUUUUCCGAAUUUUCCUUAGUGGGUUAACUUUUUGUUGCCCAUUUGACACGCUUUUGCUAGAAUUUCAUAAGGCCAAUUACUUGACGUGUUAGUGCGUCUUGUAUUUACGUUCCUUUGCCACCUCUAGUUACAUUGUUGUAUGUGUGAUUAUUCAGUUUUAUGUGGACCAUACAUGGCAUUCCAGAACUUGUGGUCACCGGUCUUUAUUUGAAUAUUCAACCACGUAGUCAACUUGUGGUGACAACUACACUACCAAGUAAUUUUCAUUCUUGCCGUGUCAUAUAAUCUCACAUGCACCCACACCAAAAUGCAAAAUCAACAAGCAAAUUUUCACCAUGUAUAAUGAUCAAAUUCUCCUAAAAAAUUGUAUAACGAUCAAAUUCAUAAACCCACAAGGCAAGCGCACCCCCUUCUAAUUUGCUCUAGCUUCACCAUUUGCAGGGUUACAAAUCUUUAUGAUCCAAUCUCCUACGAGCAUUUAUAGAUGUGAGUAUAACUGACUGCGUGAAGAUCCCUGUUAUGAUCAUUUAUAGAAAAAAGUAUUUAACAAAACUUAUCUUCUCCGUGUAUGUGUGAUGGAAAAACGCUGUCUAAUUGGAACCCCAUUUUUCCUUGUGUUUUCCAGCCAUGCAUGCUAGUGUUACGUCGUUGUUAGUUGUUGCUCAGUUUACGUGGACCGCAACGUCUUAUUCCACAACUUUAUGUGGUCACCAGCCUUUGAAAUUCUCCGACGUGCUCUUCAGUCAAUGAAAUUUGCUAGAUCUUUGGAUCGCAGCAGGAAUUUAAGAGCACACACAGCUCAGACCUUCUAGCACUCUACUAGCAGAUAGCUUUGCUCAUUGCCAGGUACUGCAUGCACAGACCACACCACUUACUAUGCAUCCCUCCGCUGCCAAGCUCUUGCUUCUUAUCGUGGCCGCCGCCUCGAGCUUCUUGUCGGUGGCAUCGCAUGGACUGCGGCCGCGGCAGCUCAAGCGGAACGCGAGCUGCUUGCCGCACGAGAGGGACGCGUUGCUGGCCUUCAAGGAAAACAUCACCAGCGACCCUGAAGGCAUCCUCUCGUCGUGGCGACGAGGGCGGAAGGACUGCUGCCGGUGGAUGGGCGUCACCUGCAGCAACCAAACCGGCCAUGUCCUCGAGCUUGACCUAAGCUAUAGAAAUUUGGCAGGCCAGAUAAGUCCUUCCUUACUGUCUCUAGAGCAUCUGGAGCACUUGGAUUUAGGCGGCACAUACUUAUCUGGU
rnacentral:lncRNA from 1 species